rnacentral:tRNA from 1 species
GGUUCCGUAGCUCAACUGAAUAGAGCAUCACAUUACGGCUGUGAAGGUUCCAGGUUUGAAUCCUGGCGGGAUCACAA